rnacentral:lncRNA from 1 species
UACAGUCGGACUCAGGUUCUCUAAUGGGCCUGGGAAAAAUAUUUUGCAACAUUCUUGAGCUCAUUUGCGAAUUUUUGUUUAGAAAACACUUUUGUUCAUAAGCGCAUUUUCAUAAAUGCUUCUAAUAGAAGGACGUCAAAAGUUUUAUUAAAAAUCCAACUCAUGAGAAAAUGAUUUUAAGUUUUUCUGCGGAACACUAGCAAUUUUAACUUUUAACUAUUUCAAAAGCACUCUCAAACGAUUUGUGUAAAGUUUACCACAAAAGGAGCAUUCAGGGAAAAAAAAAAAAGGAAAAGGAAAAGGAGACCCAAUUAAGAGAAGUAAAAAGUAAAAUUAGAAGGUUG